GAGGGCAAGUCUGGUGCCAGCAGCCGCGGUAAUUCCAGCUCCAAUAGCGUAUAUUAACGUUGUUGCAGUUAAAAAGCUCGUAGUUGAAGUGUGGGUGAUCGCUGUUGUGAAACUUCGGUCUCUCGAAAACACGUCACCCCCUUCCAGUAUCCAGUAGUGGGUAUUCAGUUACUUACUAUUGUGUGUUGGUCGUUUACUGUGAGAAAAUUAGAGUGUUCAAAGCAGGCGUUUGCUUGAAUAGAUUAGCAUGGAAUAAUAAUUGAAGGCUUUCGUGUUCGAUUUGAUUGGUUUGUUCAUGGAAGCAAGGUUAAAAGGAACAGUUGGGGGUAUUCAUAUUCACUAGUUAGAGGUGAAAUUCUCGGAUUUAUGGAAGAU
rnacentral:rRNA from 1 species